rnacentral:rRNA from 1 species
GUAGGGAAUCUUCCGCAAUGGACGAAAGUCUGACGGAGCAACGCCGCGUGAGUGAAGAAGGUUUUCGGAUCGUAAAACUCUGUUGUCGGGGAAGAACAAGCAUUGGAGUAACUGCCAGUGCCUUGACGGUACCCGACCAGAAAGCCACGGCUAACUACGUGCCAGCAGCCGCGGUAAUACGUAGGUGGCAAGCGUUGUCCGGAUUUAUUGGGCGUAAAGCGAGCGCAGGCGGUCCCUUAAGUCUGAUGUGAAAGCCCACGGCUCAACCGUGGAAGGUCAUUGGAAACUGGGGGGCUUGAAUGCAGAAGAGGAGAGUGGAAUUCCAUGUGUAGCGGUGAAAUGCGUAGAUAUAUGGAGGAACACCAGUGGCGAAGGCGACUCUCUGGUCUGUAAUUGACGCUGAGGCUCGAAAGCGUGGGGAGCAAACAGGAUUAGAUACCCCAGUAGUCC